GACGAACGCUGGCGGCGUGCUUAACACAUGCAAGUCGAACGAAGAGCGAUGGAAGCCUGCUUCUAUCAAUCCUUAGUGGCGAACGGGUGAGUAACGCGUAAUCAACCUGCCCUUCAGAGGGGGACAACAGUUGGAAACGAUCUGCUAAUACCGCAUACGAUCUAAUCUUGGCAUCGAGGAUAGAUGAAAGGUGGCCUCUACAUGUAAGCUAUCACUGAAGGAGGGGAUUGCGUCUGAUUAGCUAGUUGGAGGGGUAACGGCCCACCAAGGCGAUGGUCAGUAGCCGGUCUGAGAGGAUGAACGGCCACAUUGGGACUGAGACACGGCCCAGACUCCUACGGGAGGCAGCAGUGGGGAAUCUUCCGCAAUGGACGAAAGUCUGACGGAGCAACGCCGCGUGAGUGAUGACGGCCUUCGGGUUGUAAAGCUCUGUUAAUCGGGACGAAAGGCCUUCUUGCGAAUAGUGAGAAGGAU
rnacentral:rRNA from 1 species